UACGAAGGGGGCUAGCGUUGCUCGGAAUCACUGGGCGUAAAGGGUGCGUAGGCGGGUUUUUAAGUCAGAGGUGAAAUCCUGGAGCUCAACUCCAGAACUGCCUUUGAUACUGAAAGUCUUGAGUACGGGAGAGGUGAGUGGAACUGCGAGUGUAGAGGUGAAAUUCGUAGAUAUUCGCAAGAACUCCAGUGGCGAAGGCGGCUCACUGGCCCGUAACUGACGCUGAGGCACGAAAGCGUGGGGAGCAAACAGG
rnacentral:rRNA from 1 species